rnacentral:rRNA from 1 species
CAGCCGCCGCGGGAACACGUAGGUGGCAAGCGUUGUCCGGAAUUAUUGGGCGUAAAGGGCUCGCAGGCGGUUUCUUAAGUCUGAUGUGAAAGCCCCCGGCUCAACCGGGGAUGGUCAUCGGAAACUGGGAAACUUGAGUGCAGAAGAGGAGAGUGGAAUUCCACGUGUAGCGGUGAAAUGCGUAGAGAUGUGGAGGAACACCAGUGGCGAAGGCGACUCUCUGGUCUGUAACUGACGCUGAGGAGCGAAAGCGUGGGGAGCGAACAGGAUUAGAUACCCCUGUAGUCCCUGUCUCUUAUAC